CUGUUCACCAGCAGUUAUAUUCAGCUCUCAGGCAGGCAGACGGUGCCAGAUUUUUGAAAGCCACUGAGUGAGUAGAUAUCCAGCGUUUCUUCCUGACCUGAMCACGAUCACGAACACAUUUUUGUCCCUUGGAUUUUCCUGCCUUGUCUUGCCCAYGUCGGAUUCUUCACUGGCUUCUGUUUUCUGGUCUCGACCCUGUUUCUGCCUUYUGACCUCUGCCUCCUGCCUCGCCCUUGGAUUUUGUCUGCCUGAGAUUGCCUGCAAGUAUUGGACCCUUUUUCCGUGACCUGACCACUGCUCUUCGCCUGACCCUCAGAUACGUUUGUCUUGUCCUGCCUGCCCAAACCCCUGUGCCUCCUAGYCCUGUCCUUCCCUAGGUGWGCCACUUGUCUCUUCCACUGUGCUACCUGGAUCCCUCAUCCCCCACAACACAAGGAAGGAGACCAAGACGACACGUAAUGAACAGCACCUCACCACUGCACGGCUUCAGACAGGAUGUUCUCGGGCAGAAGUGGCCACUGAGCUUGGAGUGCCACAGAGUGUCAUUAGAGCAUUUGCAACAGAGAUGCAGAGACUGGGAGAGUCACAGAAGGAGUUGAUGUCCUUUGGCUACAUCCCACACUGAUACGCACUUUGUUGUGAUCAGUUUCCCGCAGAACCAGAUGGUGAACACAACUCAACACCUCGCACAGUUGAGACACCCAAGUGUCACAUCAGACCAUUUUAAACUGUUUACAUCAGUGUGGUCUAAGUUCUAGAUGUGAAUUAAGGGAGCCUGAUUUCUAUGUCUUCAUGGGUACGACUGAUCUGGUUGUGAAUGCUGGUUAUUGUCAUUCCAUAGUUUAUGCAAGUAAUUAUAACUUACAGAAAAAGCAUGAGAAAUGUGUUGUACCACAUUUACACUUCUGUAGAAAGUCUUCCAAGGAAACUGUUCCAAAACAAAACCAAAGCAUGUAAAAAUUUAAUAUUUGUCCUCUAAACAUUGUUUUUAAAUGGUCCUCGCCAUUUACAAAACGUGAUGUAAAUCAAUGCUGUUUUCUUAAAUAAAAAUUGAUUUUGGAAAUGUCA